CACACAGUAGUUUAAGAAGAAUGAUGCAUUGUGGAUGUAUUGGUCAGAUGUUAUGGCUGCGUGU
rnacentral:tRNA from 1 species